GUGCCUAAUACAUGCAAGUCGAGCGAACAGAUGAGGAGCUUGCUCCUCUGACGUUAGCGGCGGACGGGUGAGUAACACGUGGAUAACCUACCUAUAAGACUGGGAUAACUUCGGGAAACCGGAGCUAAUACCGGAUAAUAUAUUGAACCGCAUGGUUCAAUAGUGAAAGACGGUUUUGCUGUCACUUAUAGAUGGAUCCGCGCCGCAUUAGCUAGUUGGUAAGGUAACGGCUUACCAAGGCAACGAUGCGUAGCCGACCUGAGAGGGUGAUCGGCCACACUGGAACUGAGACACGGUCCAGACUCCUACGGGAGGCAGCAGUAGGGAAUCUUCCGCAAUGGGCGAAAGCCUGACGGAGCAACGCCGCGUGAGUGAUGAAGGUCUUCGGAUCGUAAAACUCUGUUAUUAGGGAAGAACAAAUGUGUAAGUAACUAUGCACGUCUUGACGGUACCUAAUCAGAAAGCCACGGCUAACUACGUGCCAGCAGCCGCGGUAAUACGUAGGUGGCAAGCGUUAUCCGGAAUUAUUGGGCGUAAAGCGCGCGUAGGCGGUUUUUUAAGUCUGAUGUGAAAGCCCACGGCUCAACCGUGGAGGGUCAUUGGAAACUGGAAAACUUGAGUGCAGAAGAGGAAAGUGGAAUUCCAUGUGUAGCGGUGAAAUGCGCAGAGAUAUGGAGGAACACCAGUGGCGAAGGCGACUUUCU
rnacentral:rRNA from 1 species